ACGGGUGAGUAACACGUGGGUAACCUGCCCCGUACUCUGGGAUAAGCCUGGGAAACUAGGUCUAAUACCGGAUAUGACUCCUUUGGGCAUCUGAAGGGGUGGAAAGUUCCGGCGGUACGGGAUGGGCCCGCGGCCUAUCAGCUUGUUGGUGGGGUGAUGGCCUACCAAGGCGACGACGGGUAGCCGGCCUGAGAGGGUGACCGGCCACACUGGGACUGAGACACGGCCCAGACUCCUACGGGAGGCAGCAGUGGGGAAUAUUGCACAAUGGGCGAAAGCCUGAUGCAGCGACGCCGCGUGAGGGAUGACGGCCUUCGGGUUGUAAACCUCUUUCAGCAGGGACGAAGCGUGAGUGACGGUACCUGCAGAAGAAGCACCGGCUAACUACGUGCCAGCAGCCGCGGUAAUACGUAGGGUGCGAGCGUUGUCCGGAAUUAUUGGGCGUAAAGAGCUCGUAGGCGGUUUGUUGCGUCGGCCGUGAAAACUUCACGCUUAAUGUGGAGCCUGCGGUCGAUACGGGCAGACUUGAGUUCGGCAGGGGAGACUGGAAUUCCUGGUGUAGCGGUGAAAUGCGCAGA
rnacentral:rRNA from 1 species